GAAUCCAGCCGUUUUUUUCUAGCUUCCAGAUUGCCUAGUCGAGCAAAGCGGGCGGGAAGCAACUUCAAACAAACAAGAGCCAACAGAAAGCCUCAGCAAGAAGUCACCGACUUCGUGGAGUAGUCUGCAUCAUUACACUUGCCACUUACUGUUGCUGGUCCAAGAAUGAUCUGGAACUGUAAGUUGUGCACAGCUUCUUUCACUUCCAGAAUAGAGUUAUUUAGACACUACAGGCUGCAGCAUAGCCACUACUCUACAAUCAGCCCUCUUCCAUGCCUCUACACAGACUGCAUAUGUACAUUUCAGACACUUAGUGCAUUGAGUACUCAUUUGUCAAGAUAUCACACAGCACAACCUAUCAGUUCCAAAGAGCAGAGUCAGGGGCCUGUGGUAUUUAAAUGCCCUUUAUGCACAUAUCAGCAAACCUUUUCUAAAGCAGAUGUGUUCAGUCAUCUCAGAAAGCAUUUAAAAAAUCAUGAAACAGUGAUGUGCCCAUAUAAGGAUUGUAGCUAUCGCACAAAUGUGUACUCCUCAUUCAAUUCUCAUAAAAGUAGGGAACACCAAGCAGGUCUUGAGUCAGACUUUCAAACUGAUAUUGUCAGCGAGCUUCCCUACAAUCUUCAUGCCAAUAUUUCUGAGGAAGCUAGUGAUUUGCAUGAGGAAUGCCCUGGCCCAAGCAGAGAAGUGGGGGAGGAUAAUCAGUGUGACACUGGCAGUCUAAGAAAUCAACUAAAAUGUAUCUUCCUUGUUCCUUAAGAUGCAGGCUAUCCUUCACGUCUCAAAUACAGCUACUCAGGAAAUAGUAGACCACUUGAAUCAGAUAUUUUCCUUAUCUGAGCCGUUGAUCAAAGAGGCAGUUAGUGAUGUACUGCAAAGAAAUGGUCACAGUAUUGCAGAACCUACACUGAGUGAAGUUGUUGCCGCUGUCAUGGACUGCAAUGUCCUGUCUACAUCAACCUGUAAAGGUGCAGAGUUGAGUUCAUACAAGCGCAGAAAAACGUUUAUUGAGCGCAACUAUCCUUGUGUAAUGCCAGUGGAGUACCAAUUGGAGGAACCUGGACAUACCAGCAUGUACGUUCCUAUUCUUUCAAUGAUUCAAGAGUUGUUUAAAAACACAGACAUUCUUAGUAAGAUUACUGAAACAAAUACUGCAUCUGAUCAAUAUGUAUCAUGCUCCAAUGGCUCUCAUUUCCUUGAAAAUGAGUUGCUGUCAACAGGGGAUCUCAACCUUCCACUCCAGCUAUAUAUUGAUGACCUUGAAAUUUGCAAUCCGCUUGGCACAUCGCGCAAAAUUCACAAAUUUUGCGCUGUAUAUUGGGUCCUCGCUAAUGUGCCACCAAAAUACAGAUCAGCAUUACAUACUAUACAGCUAGCACUACUGGUAAAAGUGACAGAUGUCCGUAAGUAUGGAUAUGCAGCUGUACUUGCUCCAUUGCUGCAUGAUAUUCAUACUCUGGAAAAAGAUGGUGUCUUCAUCGAAAGAGUGGGUCAGAAUGUCAAAGGCACAGUCUUUUGUGUUUCUUCAGACAAUUUGGCUGCUCAUGGAUUAGGGGGCUUUGUAGAGUCAUUUAGAACAGGCCAUGUUUGCAGAUUCUGUGUGGGCUCCGUUGAACAGUUUCAAGUAGCUGAAGUCAGAGAGGGAAAGUUUCCUCAGAGAACCAAAGCUAGCCAUGACCUACAUGUUCAAACUGUGCAAGAAAGUGACACUUUGAGAAGCCACUUUGGUGUUAAAGGUGGCUGUGCCUUGCAAGAAUCCCUGAGUUACUUCCAUACAAUCACAGGGUUUCCUCCUGAUAUACUACAUGAUCUUCUGGAAGGUAUCGUUCCCAUGGAGCUUUCUCUUUGUAUUAAAGAGAUGAUCCGGCUGAAGUACUUCAGUUUGGAGUACUUGAACAACAAGAUUACGUCAUUCCCAUAUCAGCACACUGAUAAAGUGGAUAGACCUCAGCCACUUCCCAAAACGUUUCUUUCUCGAGGAACGAUUGGAGGUAAUGGUCAUGAAAAUGCCACUCUGCUCCGACUUUUUCCAUUGCUUGUUAGCAGUGUAGUACCAGAAGGUGAUAAGGCAUGGGCUGUUUUGAUGGAGCUGAAAGAGGUGGUAGAGUUAGCAUUGUGCCCAUCAUUUACAGAUGAGACCUUAGACUAUUUUGAGUGCAAAAUCAGUGAUCAUAGACAGGCACUUCUUGAGGUUUUCCCUGAGGUUAGGCUCCGUCCUAAACACCAUUUUGUGGAGCACUAUCCUGCUCUAGUCAAGUGCUUUGGGCACCUGCUGCACGUUUGGACCAUGCGUUUUGAGGCCAAGCACCGCUUUUUCAAAAGAGUGGUGCAUGACGCUCAAAACUUCAAAAAUAUUUUGAAGACAAUGGCAAUCCGACACCAACACAUGAUGGCAUAUCAUCUUGCUGCACCAUCAUUUUUCAGGCCAAAAACUCAGGCAUCCAGCAUUGAAUCUGUUCUGGUUUCAGCUCUACCAGAGGUUGCUCAAGUGCACAUUAGAGAACAAACAACUAGUGAUACAAUCUACAAGACAUCAAAUGUGACUGUUGAUGGCACAGACUAUGUCUGUGGAAUGUUUCUGUCUGUAGGAGUCAGCGGUGGACUGUCAACAUUUUGCAAAAUAGAACAGAUCUUCCUUGUAAAUCACAAUGUAUCUUUUCUCUGUUGUGAUUAUGACUCCUGGUAUGUAGAACAUCUACGGUCCUAUGAGCUGACAACUGCAAACACAAGCCUGUCGAUCCACCUGCAGUCUGGUCUGAAUGAUGCAGUCCCUCUUCCAGCAUACAAGAUAGGCGGCUCGCUACUGCUAACCCUGAAGCGGUUCAUUCAAGUGAGACAGAACUAAGCACAAUGGCAGCUGCAUCCCCUGAACCAAUGAUUCUACGUGUUGUUCAACCAGACCAGGCUAGAAAAUUAAAACUCAGCUCACGACCAGCCUCUGUUGAUGCACUGAUCAAUAUUCUAAAAGAACAGCUGGACAUUGACCUUGACUUUGAUUUACUUUAUGAAGAUCCAGACUUCGAUGGAAAACUUACAUCCCUGAACGACAUUGAGGAAUUGCCACAAAAAGCAGUUGUGCACAUUUCACUUUCACAAGACUCCAGCUCUCUGCUUUCAGAUGUGUCCUCUCCAGAGCGUCUCAGCAGGUGGCCUACGGGACCUUUUCCAGUUCCCACCUUUGAUUUUGAUGUUGAGGUGGAACUUAGAGAUGGGAAUGCGGAAUAUGAGAAGAACCACACACCCCUUAAAGUGACAAGAGACCUAAAGCAUGACAUUUUAGAAAAGCUUGCAUCUACUAUAUAUGGUUUUAAGGCUUACCCAAGUGAUGAAGACAUUGCAAUGGCUGCUGAGGCUCUUGUAGCCAAACAUCCCUGCCUGAAGGAAGCAGGAUCUGAGACUGGCUGGAAUGGAUGGAAAUGCAACCUCAAGUUCAAAAUGGGCAAUUACAGGAUCAAGAUGAGGCGUGCUGGCUGUCAGGAGGUCCUGCACAGACGAGUCUGAUAAACCAGUGGGCCUCCUUGCGGUCAUCAGUGACCAUGACGCAGUCUAAAGUCCAGUUCACUACCAACCUGUGAGAGUCUCUGUCGUCAUUGAAAGUGAUGCCGGUGUCAGCCUCCCCAGACUUGGCGACGCCUUCCUGGUAAUCUUUGGACUGAUCUAUGCACUACACCUCAGCUAUCCCAAAGCACUGACCAACACUUUGAAUUUAUUCAAAAGAUUUCACUUUGUUUUUUAAAGAAGGCUGCAGGGUUACCAGACUAGUUCCGUUUUUCUUUUGUCUGCUUACUGUAAUGCCUACUAAGUUACUGCACUACUCUACAGGUGUUAAGCUAAUAGGCCCAAAAAACACAAUAUGCAUUGGUUCUCAUUAAAGUGAUGGUUUGGACUAAAAUUCACCCUAGGUUAAUUGCACCGUGACAACCAGUCAAAAACAUUGGCACUAAGGUAACAUGUAUAUCUGGUAAAUUACACCACUAAUAAUUCCUGGAAUGUUACCACACUUCUUCAGUAGUACACAUGGGGUCUGUACUUGUGAACCAAGGCAUUGGAAUGUUUGUAAGUAUACCUUUUGUUAAAAAUAGCACUUGCCUACUAGUUUCUGAUCUUAUGCUGCUAGCUACCGUUGUGCACUGCUUUUACUCACUUUUUCUGAAACAAGGAAGUGGUGUCUGCGCAGCGGAAGAUAGCAGUAGCAGAGAGAAGAAACUAUCAGGGAAGUGCUAUUUUUAAUAAAAAUCUGAUAUACUUACGAACUUUCCAAUGCCUCGGUUUAUGAUGACUUAUGGACCCCAGGUGUACUACUGAAGAAGUGUGGUAACAUUCCAGGCAUUAUUAGUGGGGUAAUUUACUAGAUAUAUGCGUUACAUUAACGCCAAUACUAACCUAAUCAGCGACUAGACCUAACACGAAUGUUCGACCAUUGCUAAAAAAAAAAAAAAAAAAACUUAUGAGGGGGUAUUAUCGUGCAAUUAACCUAGGGUUAAUUUGACUCCAAACCAUCGCUUUAAUAUAAUGCUGAAAUAAGGCUACUGUUUUUGUAUGCUUUAUUGUUUUUCUCAACUGUGGGCUGCGCAAGGUGACUCAAAUUACACUGCAUUUGAGGGGUUAUACAUUUGCAUGUUAAACAUUUAAAAUAACUGUUCUUGAAGUCUAUAGAAUUUGUGAUUUCUUCUAAAUUACUGCCCUGUUGCCCUACUCAGGAAUUAAGCCAAAAGCACACUGGUGUUCUUUUAAAGCUGCA